UGGGGAAUUUUGGACAAUGGGCGCAAGCCUGAUCCAGCCAUGCCGCGUGGGUGAAGAAGGCCUUCGGGUUGUAAAGCUCUUUUGGCGGGGACGAUGAUGACGGUACCCGCAGAAUAAGCCCCGGCAAACUUCGUGCCAGCAGCCGCGGUAAGACGAAGGGGGCAAGCGUUGUUCGGAAUUACUGGGCGUAAAGGGCGCGUAGGCGGCUCUGUAAGUCAGGUGUGAAAGCCCUGGGCUCAACCUGGGAAUGGCACUUGAUACUGUGGGGCUAGAGAGUGGGAGAGGAUGGUGGAAUUCCCAGUGUAGAGGUGAAA
rnacentral:rRNA from 1 species